AAGGCAACGGUCUUGAAAACCGUCGACGGGUAACCGUUCGAGAGUUCGAAUCUCUCCUCCUCCGCCAUCUUCUCUUAGUAUUUCU
rnacentral:tRNA from 1 species